rnacentral:rRNA from 1 species
CCUACGGGCGGCAGCAGUAGGGAAUAUUGCUCAAUGGGGGAAACCCUGAAGCAGCAAAGCCGCGUGGAGGAUGAAGGUUUUCGGAUUGUAAAAUCCUUUUGUUAGAGAAGAUAAUGACGGUAUCUAACGAAUAAGCACCGGCUAACUCCGGGCCAGCAGCCGCGGUAAUACGGAGGGUGCAAGCGUUACUCGGAAUCACUGGGCGUAAAGAGCGCGUAGGCGGGAUAGCAAGUCAGAGGUGAAAUCCUAGGGCUUAACCAUAGAACUGCAUUUGAAACUGGUAUUCUAGAGUAUGGGAGAGGUAGGUGGAAUUCUCGGUGUAGGGGUAAAAUCCGUAGAGAUCAAGAGGAAUACGCAUUGCGAAGGCGACCUGCUAGAACAUAACUGACGCUGAUGCGCGAAAGCGUGGGGAGCAAACAGGAUUAGAUACCCUUGUAGUC